UGUGGUAUAUUGAACCCCUACUCUAGGCCUUUAAUUUUAGAAAUUCUGGCAAUUCGAACUGUUUUUAUGUAGUUAGAAUACACCAAUAAGUAGUUUGUAUGUAUUUAACUUGCUGGAAAAGAUAUUUUGAAAAUUUUACUUUGCCAUGGUAUUUUGACCCCCCUGCGGUAUAUUGAACCCCCUUCUCUAGACCUUUAAUUCAAAAAAAUUUGGCAAUUUUAACUCUUUGGUGUAGUUGGAAUACACCAAUAAGUAGUUUGUAUGUAUUAAACUUGCUGGAAAAAAUAUUUUGAAAAAUUUACUUUGCCAUGGUAUUAUGACUCUCCUGCGGUAUAUU
rnacentral:lncRNA from 1 species